GAUGAACGCUAGCUACAGGCUUAACACAUGCAAGUCGAGGGGCAGCAUGGUCUUAGCUUGCUAAGGCCGAUGGCGACCGGCGCACGGGUGAGUAACACGUAUCCAACCUGCCGUCUACUCUUGGACAGCCUUCUGAAAGGAAGAUUAAUACAAGAUGGCAUCAUGAGUCCACAUGUUCACAUGAUUAAAGGUAUUCCGGUAGACGAUGGGGAUGCGUUCCAUUAGAUAGUAGGCGGGGUAACGGCCCACCUAGUCUUCGAUGGAUAGGGGUUCUGAGAGGAAGGUCCCCCACAUUGGAACUGAGACACGGUCCAAACUCCUACGGGAGGCAGCAGUGAGGAAUAUUGGUCAAUGGGCGAGAGCCUAAACCAGCCAAGUAGCGUGAAGGAUGACUGCCCUAUGGGUUGUAAACUUCUUUUAUAAAGGAAUAAAGUCGGGUAUGGAUACCCGUUUGCAUGUACUUUAUGAAUAAGGAUCGGCUAACUCCGUGCCAGCAGCCGCGGUAAUACGGGGGAUCCGAGCGUUAUCCGGAUUUAUUGGGUUUAAAGGGAGCGUAGAUGGAUGUUUAAGUCAGUUGUGAAAGUUUGCGGCUCAACCGUAAAAUUGCAGUUGAUACUGGAUAUCUUGAGUGCAGUUGAGGCAGGCGGAAUUCGUGGUGUAGCGGUGAAAUGCUUAGAUAUCACGAAGAACUCCGAUUGCGAAGGCAGCCUGCUAAGCUGCAACUGACAUUGAGGCUCGAAAGUGUGGGUAUCAAACAGGAUUAGAUACCCUGGUAGUCCACACGGUAAACGAUGAAUACUCGCUGUUUGCGAUAUACAGCAAGCGGCCAAGCGAAAGCGUUAAGUAUUCCACCUGGGGAGUACGCCGGCAACGGUGAAACUCAAAGGAAUUGACGGGGGCCCGCACAAGCGGAGGAACAUGUGGUUUAAUUCGAUGAUACGCGAGGAACCUUACCCGGGCUUAAAUUGCAGAUGAAUUACGGUGAAAGCCGUAAGCCGCAAGGCAUCUGUGAAGGUGCUGCAUGGUUGUCGUCAGCUCGUGCCGUGAGGUGUCGGCUUAAGUGCCAUAACGAGCGCAACCCUUGUUGUCAGUUACUAACAGGUUCCGCUGAGGACUCUGACAAGACUGCCAUCGUAAGAUGUGAGGAAGGUGGGGAUGACGUCAAAUCAGCACGGCCCUUACGUCCGGGGCUACACACGUGUUACAAUGGGGGGUACAGAGGGCCGCUACCACGCGAGUGGAUGCCAAUCCCAAAAACCUCUCUCAGUUCGGACUGGAGUCUGCAACCCGACUCCACGAAGCUGGAUUCGCUAGUAAUCGCGCAUCAGCCACGGCGCGGUGAAUACGUUCCCGGGCCU
rnacentral:rRNA from 1 species